GGGAUUCGACCUCCUGGCAUAUUCCGCCUGGACCGACUGCUAUCGGAUNGAGAUUNAGCCAUGCGAGUCGAACGUCCCCCUGCUGCGGGGGGCGUGGCGUACGGCUCAGUAACACGUAGUCAACCUGCCCUGGAGACAUGGACAACCCCGGGAAACUGGGAUUAAUCCGUGAUAGGUCACCUCAUCUGGAAGGAGAGAUGGCUUAAAGGGGUGCGCGGGCUUCUUCUGCGUAUUCGCUCCAGGAUGGGACUGCGUCCGAUCAGGCUGUUGGCGGGGUAAUGGCCCACCAAACCUGUAACCGGUACGGGCCUUGAGAGAGGUGGCCCGGAUAUUGACACUGAGAGAAGGGUCCAGGUCCUACGGGGCGCAGCAGGCGCGAAACCUUCGCAAUGCGCGAAAGCGUGACGAGGUUAAUCCGAGUGACUUCCGCUGAGGAGGUCUUUUGUCAGCUGUAAAUAGGCAGGCGAAUAAGGGGAGGGCAAGCCUGGUGU
rnacentral:rRNA from 1 species